rnacentral:rRNA from 1 species
UACAGAGGUCCCAAGCGUUGUUCGGAAUUACUGGGCGUAAAGGGUGCGUAGGCGGCCCGUUAAGUCAGUGGUGAAAGCCUCCAGCUCAACUGGAGAACUGCCAUUGAUACUGACGGGCUUGAGUACAGACGAGGUUGGCGGAAUUGAUUGUGUAGCGGUGAAAUGCAUAGAUACAAUCAAGAACUCCGAUUGCGUAGGCAGCUAACUAGGCUGUAACUGACGCUGAGGCACGAAAGCGUGGGGAGCGAACAGG